AUUGCCUUAGUAACGGCGAGUGAAGCGGCAACAGCUCAAAUUUGAAAUCUGGCUCCUUCGGGGCCCGAGUUGUAAUUUGGAGAGGAUGUUUCGGGUACGGUCCGGGCUUAAAUUUCUUGGAACAGAAUGUCACGGAGGGUGAGAAUCCCGUCUGGAGCUCGGACACGACCCAUGUGAAACUCCUUCGACGAGUCGAGUUGUUUGGGAAUGCAGCUCUAAAUGGGUGGUAAAUUUCAUCUAAAGCUAAAUAUUGGCCAGAGACCGAUAGCGCACAAGUAGAGUGAUCGAAAGAUGAAAAGCACUUUGAAAAGAGAGUUAAACAGUACGUGAAAUUGUUGAAAGGGAAGCGCUGGCAACCAGACUUGCGCGUCGGGGUUCCCCCUUGCUUCUGCCUGGGUUACUCCCCGGGUUCAGGCCAACAUCGGUUUCGGGGGUCGGUUAAAGGCUCUGGGAAUGUACUUACCCUCCGGGGUAAACUUAUAGCCCAGGGUGUCAUGCGCCUCCCGGGACCGAGGAACGCGCUUCGGCUCGGAUGUUGGCGUAAUGGUUGUCAGCGACCCGUCUUGAAACACGGACCAAGGAGUCUAACAUCUAUGCGAGUGUUAGGGUGUCAAACCCUUACGCGGAAUGAAAGUGAACGGAGGUGAGAGCUUCGGCGCACUAUCGACCGAUCCUGAUGUUUACGGAUGGAUUUGAGUAAGAGCAUAGCUGUUGGGACCCGAAAGAUGGUGAACUAUGCCUGAAUAGGGUGAAGCCAGAGGAAACUCUGGUGGAGGCUCGCAGCGGUUCUGACGUGCAAAUCGAUCGUCAAAUUUGGGUAUAGGGGCGAAAGACUAAU
rnacentral:rRNA from 1 species